rnacentral:rRNA from 1 species
UCUCCGUAGGUGAACCUGCGGAGGGAUCAUUACACAAAUAUGAAGGCGGGCUGGAACCUCUCGGGGUUACAGCCUUGCUGAAUUAUUCACCCUUGUCUUUUGCGUACUUCUUGUUUCCUUGGUGGGUUCGCCCACCACUAGGACAAACAUAAACCUUUUGUAAUUGCAAUCAGCGUCAGUAACAAAUUAAUAAUUACAACUUUCAACAACGGAUCUCUUGGUUCUGGCAUCGAUGAAGAACGCAGCGAAAUGCGAUAAGUAGUGUGAAUUGCAGAAUUCAGUGAAUCAUCGAAUCUUUGAACGCACAUUGCGCCCUUUGGUAUUCCAAAGGGCAUGCCUGUUCGAGCGUCAUUUGUACCCUCAAGCUUUGCUUGGUGUUGGGCGUCUUGUCUCUAGCUUUGCUGGAGACUCGCCUUAAAGUAAUUGGCAGCCGGCCUACUGGUUUCGGAGCGCAGCACAAGUCGCACUCUCUAUCAGCAAAGGUCUAGCAUCCAUUAAGCCUUUUUUUUCAACUUUUGACCUCGGAUCAGGUAGGGAUACCCGCUGAACUUAAGCAUAUCAAUAA